GAAAGUCUUGUCAGGGUGCAGUUACUUGCCAAAUCCCUAAUUUUUGCCUAGAUUGCCCCAGAGUGAGGUACUCAAUCUAGCGGGUAUGCAAAUAUAUCUUUUUUUUUCAAGUCUCUAAUUUUUGCCUGGAUUACCCUUACGGGUUCUCCACCGAGACGCUCAUUUUUGCCUAAGCCGCCCUUUCGGGUUUUCAACUUAGCGAGCUAUUCUGUUUUUUUUUCAUUCUUUUCAUUUGCAUAUACUUUUUUUCUAGGCAAAGUAUCUCUUAACUGCAUCUGAAUUCACAGGACGAGUGAAGUCCUCCCCAUCCAUUGUUGUAAGCAUUAAAGCACCGCCUGAAAAGGCUCU
rnacentral:lncRNA from 1 species